UACGUAGGGUGCAAGCGUUGUCCGGAAUUAUUGGGCGUAAAGAGCGUGUAGGCGGCCAGACAGGUCUGCUGUGAAAACUCGAGGCUCAACCUCGAGACGCCGGUGGAAACCGUCUGGCUAGAGUCCGGAAGAGGAGAGGUGGAAUUCCUGGUGUAGCGGUGAAAUGCGCAGAUAUCAGGAAGAACACCCGUGGCUAAGGCGGCUCUCUAGUACGGUACUGACGCUGAGACGCGAAAGCGUGGGGAGCGAACAGG
rnacentral:rRNA from 1 species